CCAUUCGUUCCUACUCCUACAAUGGAAUGGACUCGUGGUUCAAGGGUUUAGCCCCUCAGUUCAUGAGUCUGUCCUUCCUCUUCUCCAUCUGCUUUGGGAAACAUGCUCCCGAUCUCAGAAGGGGAACAGCAUCUCCAAGAACCAGAUGAAUAAAACAGGAAGCACAAGUUUGGAGUGUAACCAUACCAAAAGGCAAGAUGGAGGCACAGGUAAAGCAGAGGUCUAUACCAGAUUAGGGAACACCACAGGAGUGGAGAAUGACAGCUGAUUAGCAAAUGUCUGUGGGAGACAGAGCCAAGAUGUCGGAAUAAGGAAGGAACUGAGUUUUCCCAAAUCUCCAAACAACUAUUUUUAAAAUGCCUCUAAACAAAUUCUGAAGACAAACAAAAUCAGAACAACAAAAAGAUGAGGUGAAGCGAUUUUCUGUCACAAGACAAUGUAGAAGGUUAGCAGGAAAAGAUCCACUUCAUUGGGGAAGAAGAGUGCUUGAUCCAGCAAACAUCUUUUCUCUCUCCAUCCUUUGGAUAGCAAACACAUCAACAUUAUAAGUUAUUGACUCCUGCUUCCCUAGCCCUUGAUCUGCUGCAACCUGGCUCUGACAUGACUUCUACUGGAAAUGGAUCUUUAAAAGUUGCCAACCCAGCUAACCUUGCAAGUAAUCUUCAGGAUCUUCCCAAGACAAUUCAACUGUAAAUGGUUCCAUUUUCUGGCUGAAAGACUGAGAUUCUCCAGGUUUGAUUAGACAUACAACAGUGAAGUGUUGGGUAUACAGCCUAAUAUAUGUUCUCUCCCACAUUUUCUUCUGGAGUAUCUCAAAACUGAGCUACCUCUGGUAAUUCAUGCCUCAACCUCAUCAUCCACAUGGACAUCUCUGGAAUGUAUACUACCAAGGAAAGUGAACUAUACCAGUUCAAUGAUGGCAUGCAGCCCACAGUUUCUUUCAUGAUACAGCAGUACUGUUCUGUCUGGUUCUCCAAAUGAUGGAUGGAUGGAUGGAUUUGGAUACAGCAUGGCUUGCCUCUAAUCAUGAGGAUAAAGUUGCCACAGUUCUAGCAGAUGGUCCAAAAUUCUCUGAUCACAUUUUCUUUAUGACAAGGGACAUUACAGCCAUUGGUAGCAUGAUAAACCCAAGUGAAUCCCACCCCUCUUCUCCAAACUACUGCAACCACCUCCUCAAACCAGUUGUUAGUCAAUACUGAGUCAAGGAUGCUAAAACCAGAGUGAAGACAAUAAAUCUACCCUUGUGUAUGCUAAUGAUGUUCAGCUUCAUUGGCCAUCAUGGAAGUUUCCCUUGUCUCCCCAACUCCAGUCCUCUAAAUCCUACAUCCAAAAAGUGUGAGAUGUUUCAAUAAGUGAUCUAAGUUUUUAUCCCAUCGUCAACUAGCAGCACCUGUAUCCUCGAACAAGGAUAUAAAAUGUGAAGUCCUUUAAAAAAAGGUUUUAAAGAUGGUCUUAUGGACCACUUGGGCUACUCAAUACUAUGACGAAUUUUGCUUUAUCUAUCUAGACAAGCUGCUUCAGACAAGCGUAGAAGCCACUCGAUCUUUGGAAUGAAGUCCAAGGGGAGUCUCAACCUUUAUCUUUGUAAUGAGUGGGUUGGGUGAUGAGAAUGGAUAUGGCCUGGCCUUGGCAAAGAGUGCAACAAGGUGUUCAGGAAUUAAGUCUUGGACUCUAAGAGUACUAGAGAACAAAACCUUUUUUGCAAUGCAACAAUCAUGGUAUUGGAGCAUUUCUUGAGGUUGGGGAUCAUAGUAUGGGGGGAAAAAGUAGAACAAAAACUGGCCUUAUUUUGAAGAUUUUGAUUAUGUGAUGACUAUGGCUAUGGCUAUAACCUUGGUGUAUCCUCUGACAGUUCAUAUGAACAGUCCUCUAACGAACUACACUUUUGUAUUCAUCAAGGAAGAUCUGGAGAAGCAAUGCAGCUCCUGCAAACAGUGGAGGUUGAUAGCCCUUUUUCACGAUUAAAGGUCAUGGAAACAUUUCUUCACAGGAGAGCCAGGAUGAUUCUAAAAGUUCUUAUGCCAUUAAAGAAGUUUAUGCAUAUCA